GGGCCUGUAACUUAGACGAUUAGAGCACGUGGUUACGAACCACGAUGUCGGGAGUUCGAAUCCCUCUUCGCCCA